CCUACGGGCGGCAGCAGUGGGGAAUAUUGGACAAUGGGGGGAACCCUGAUCCAGCCAUGCCGCGUGUGUGAAGAAGGCCCUCGGGUUGUAAAGCACUUUCAGUGAGGAAGAACGCCUGGUGGUUAAUACCCAUCAGGAAAGACAUCACUCACAGAAGAAGCACCGGCUAACUCCGUGCCAGCAGCCGCGGUAAUACGGAGGGUGCGAGCGUUAAUCGGAAUUACUGGGCGUAAAGCGCGCGUAGGUGGCUUGAUAAGCCGGUUGUGAAAGCCCCGGGCUCAACCUGGGAACGGCAUCCGGAACUGGCAAGCUAGAGUGCAGGAGAGGAAGGUAGAAUUCCCGAUGUAGCGGUGAAAUGCGUAGAGAUCGGGAGGAAUACCAGUGGCGAAGGCGGCCUUCUGGACUGACACUGACACUGAGGUGCGAAAGCGUGGGUAGCAAACAGGAUUAGAUACCCUCAGUAGUC
rnacentral:rRNA from 1 species